GCGCUGCUGACGAGUCCCACGCAGGACGAAACAGCUGUCCAGCAC
rfam:Echinostoma caproni strain Egypt genome assembly, scaffold: ECPE_scaffold0016218